rnacentral:rRNA from 1 species
AGUGAACGCUGGCGGUAGGCCUAACACAUGCAAGUCGAACGGCAGCACAGUAAGAGCUUGCUCUUACGGGUGGCGAGUGGCGGACGGGUGAGGAAUACAUCGGAAUCUACUUUUUCGUGGGUGAUAACGUAGGGAAACUUACGCUAAUACCGCAUACGACCUACGGGUGAAAGCAGUGGAUCUUCGGACCUUUCGCGAUUGAAUGAGCCGAUGUCGGAUUAGCUAGUUGGCGGGGUAAAGGCCCACCAAGGCGGCGAUCCGUAGCUGGUCUGAGAGGAUGAUCAGCCACACUGGAACUGAGACACGGUCCAGACUCCUACGGGAGGCAGCAGUGGGGAAUAUUGGACAAUGGGCGCAAGCCUGAUCCAGCCAUACCGCGUGGGUGAAGAAGGCCUUCGGGUUGUAAAGCCCUUUUGUUGGGAAAGAAAAGCAGCAGGUUAAUACCCCGCUGUUCUGACGGUACCCAAAGAAUAAGCACCGGCUAACUUCGUG